rnacentral:rRNA from 1 species
CCCCUAGACGUUCUGGGCUGCACGCGCGCUACAAUAAUACGCACAGCGAGUAUCACCGAGCUCGAAAGGGCAAGGUAAACAAUAGAAAAGGUACUGUAAUGGUUAUAGAUCCUUGUAAUUAUUGAUCUUCAACGAGGAAUUCCUAGUAAGUAUGUGUCAUCAUCACGCACUGAUUACGUCCCUGCCCUUUGUACACACCGCCCGUCGCUCCUACCGAUUGGGUGAGCCGAUGAAACUGCCGGAUGUGGACUAUUCAUAGUCUGCAGAAGAUAUUUGAAUCGUAGCGCUUAGAGGAAGGAGAAGUCGUAACA